rnacentral:rRNA from 1 species
CCUACGGGUGGCUGCAGUCGAGAAUCUUUCGCAAUGGGCGCAAGCCUGACGAAGCGACGCCGUGUGAGCGAAGAAGGCCUUCGGGUUGUAAAGCUCUUUCGCUAGGGAACAAGAGAGAUGGCAUAAUACGCCAUUGAUUUGAUGGUACUUGGUAAAGAAGCACCGGCUAACUCCGUGCCAGCAGCUGCGGUAAUACGGAGGGUGCAAGCAUUGAUCGGAAUUACUGGGCGUAAAGGGCGCGUAGGCGGUCGAAAAAGUCAGAUGUGAAAUUCCGGGGCUCAACCCCGGAGCUGCAUUUGAAACUCUUCGGCUAGAGGACAGUUAGGGUAAACGGAAUUCCACGUGUAGCGGUGAAAUGCGUAGAUAUGUGGAAGAACACCGGUGGUGAAGACGGUUUACUGGGCUGUAACUGACGCUGAGGCGCGAAAGCUAGGGGAGCAAACAGGAUUAGAUACCCGAGUAGUC